rnacentral:rRNA from 1 species
UUGACAUCCAGCGAACUUUCCAGAGAUGGAUUGGUGCCUUCGGGAACGCUGAGACAGGUGCUGCAUGGCUGUCGUCAGCUCGUGUUGUGAAAUGUUGGGUUAAGUCCCGCAACGAGCGCAACCCUUAUCCUUUGUUGCCAGCGAUUCGGUCGGGAACUCAAAGGAGACUGCCGGUGAUAAACCGGAGGAAGGUGGGGAUGACGUCAAGUCAUCAUGGCCCUUACGAGUAGGGCUACACACGUGCUACAAUGGCGCAUACAAAGAGAAGCGACCUCGCGAGAGCAAGCGGACCUCAUAAAGUGCGUCGUAGUCCGGAUCGGAGUCUGCAACUCGACUCCGUGAAGUCGGAAUCGCUAGUAAUCGUGGAUCAGAAUGCCACGGUGAAUACGUUCCCGGGCCUUGUACACACCGCCCGUCACACCAUGGGAGUGGGUUGCAAAAGAAGUAGGUAGCUUAACCCUCGGGAGGGCGCUUACCACUUUGUGAUUCAUGACUGGGGUGAAGUCGUAACAAGGUAAGCGUAGCGAG